CGGGGUGUAGCGCAGCCUGGUAGCGUACUUGCUUCGGGAGCAAGGGGUCGGAGGUUCAACUCCUCUCACCCCGACCA
rnacentral:tRNA from 2 species